rnacentral:sRNA from 13 species
AUGGUGUUUUCAUUGGAAUAUUUUGACCAUUACUAGUGGGAGUAUUACUAGAAAUGACAUG